rnacentral:rRNA from 1 species
UACGUAGGGGGCAAGCGUUGUCCGGAAUCAUUGGGCGUAAAGAGCGUGUAGGCGGUCCGGUAAGUCGGCUGUGAAAGUCCAGGGCUCAACCCUGGGAUGCCGGUCGAUACUGCCGGACUAGAGUUCGGAAGAGGCGAGUGGAAUUCCUGGUGUAGCGGUGAAAUGCGCAGAUAUCAGGAGGAACACCGAUUGCGAAGGCAGCUCGCUGGGACGUAACUGACGCUGAGACGCGAAAGCGUGGGGAGCAAACAGG